GACGAACGCUGGCGGCGUGCUUAACACAUGCAAGUCGAACGAUGAAGCGGGUGCUUGCACUCGUGGUUUAGUGGCGAACGGGCGAGUAACACGUGAGUAACCUGUCCUUUUCUUUGGGAUAACGGCUGGAAACGGCGGCUAAUACUGGAUAUUCGGGCUGCAUCCCUUGUUGGGGUUGGGAAAGGUUUUUUCUGGGGUUUGGUGGGGUCGCGGCCUAUCUGCUUGGUGGUGGGGUGAUUGCUUACCAAGGCGUUGACGGGUCGCCGGCCUGGGAGGGGGGCCGGGCGCACGGGGGGUGAGAUACGGCCCAGAAUACGACGGGGGGUAGUAGUGGGGAAAAUAGCACGGUGGACGAAAGUAUGAUGCGGCGACGCCGGGUGGAGGGUGUAGGCCUUCGGGUUGUGAACUCGUUUGUAUCGCGAAAAAGGCACAGUUUUGGCGGUGUUGAUGGUAGUGGGGGAAGAAGCGCCGGCUAACUACGUG
rnacentral:rRNA from 1 species